rnacentral:snoRNA from 1 species
GAGCAUACUUGUAGACCUUGUUUGAUUGUGCUCAUGGCCAGGCAAGGGGGACAGAGUAUGCAAGAGUAACUUGGAGUUGAUGCCAGCUCUAGCCAGCUUCAUCAGUGGCUGGAUAAAUUGCAGUACUCCAACAUUC